GACGAACGCUGGCGGCGUGCUUAACACAUGCAAGUCGAACGGAAAGGCCCUGCUUUUGUGGGGUGCUCGAGUGGCGAACGGGUGAGUAACACGUGAGUAACCUGCCCUUGACUUUGGGAUAACUUCAGGAAACUGGGGCUAAUACCGGAUAGGAGCUCCUGCUGCAUGGUGGGGGUUGGAAAGUUUCGGCGGUUGGGGAUGGACUCGCGGCGUAUCAGCUUGUUGGUGGGGUAGUGGCUUACCAAGGCUUUGACGGGUAGCCGGCCUGGGAGGGUGGCCGGCCCCAUUGGGCCUGAGCUGCGGCCCAGCCUCCUACGGGAGGCAGCAGUGGGGAAUAUUGCACAAUGGGCGGAAGCCUGAUGCAGCAACGCCGCGUGCCGGAUGACGGCCUUCGGGUUGUAAACCGCUUUCGCCUGUGACGAAGCGUGAGUGACGGUAAUGGGUAAAGAAGCACCGGCUAACUACGUG
rnacentral:rRNA from 1 species